rnacentral:rRNA from 1 species
GACGAACGCUGGCGGCGUGCCUAAUACAUGCAAGUAGAACGCACAGUUUAUACCGUAGCUUGCUACACCAUAGACUGUGAGUUGCGAACGGGUGAGUAACGCGUAGGUAACCUGCCUGGUAGCGGGGGAUAACUAUUGGAAACGAUAGCUAAUACCGCAUAAUAUUAAUUAUUGCAGGAUAAUUGAUUGAAAGAUGCAACUGAAUCACUACCAGAUGGACCUGCGUUGUAUUAGCUAGUAGGGGAGGUAACGGCUCACCUAGGCGACGAUACAUAGCCGACCUGAGAGGGUGAUCAGCCACACUGGGACUGAGACACGGCCCAGACUCCUACGGGAGGCAGCAGUAGGGAAUCUUCGGCAAUGGACGAAAGUCUGACCGAGCAACGCCGCGUGAGUGAAGAAGGGUUUCGGAUCGUAAAGCUCUGUUGUAAGAGAAGAACGGGUGUGAGAGUGGAAAGUUCACACUGUGACGGUAUCUUACCAGAAAGGGACGGCUAACUACGUG